rnacentral:rRNA from 1 species
UACGUAGGGGGCAAGCGUUGUCCGGAUUUAUUGGGCGUAAAGAGCGUGUAGGCGGCCUGACAGGUCUGCUGUGAAAACUCGAGGCUCAACCUCGAGAUGUCGGCGGAAACCGUCUGGCUAGAGUCCGGAAGAGGAGAGUGGAAUUCCUGGUGUAGCGGUGAAAUGCGCAGAUAUCGGGAGGAACACCAGUGGCGAAGGCGGUUGCCUGGAGCUUUGCUGACGCUGAGGCGCGAAAGCGUGGGGAGCGAUCCGG